AUGAACCCCGACACAGAGCUUCGUCCUGAGGCCUUCACCAUCUCCUGCCUCAGGAGUGUCCAGCCCACACAGUUCACUCAGAUGUUGCUUGGUGAGAGACUGGCCUGUCUGCCAAUAGGAGCUGAAGUGAUCUCCAGCUGGAAUCAGAGUCAGAUAUUCAAAGAGAGAGAGAGAGAGAGAGAGAGAGAGAGAGAGAGAGAAGGCUGACAGGAAAAGAGAGCAAUAGAAGAAGAGGCCCUUGCUACAACAAAAGAGUGGAUUCAUUAUGCAAAACAGACCUUUCUAACUCGUCAACAGCAAUUACAUUUUUGUUUUGCAACUUGCUGUACAAAAUGAAUCAUGCAUUUAAGGAAAAGAGGUUUCGUGAGAGAAUAUAUCAAGUAAUGAUGAGAGAGAGAAAAAAAGAGAAAAUAUUUUCCUUUCAAAUUUCUUCUUCAAAUUCUCUUUUACUUUAAACUUCCUUCAUCACACCCCUCCUGAUAUCAGUACCUCCAUACCUCAAUUCACUACUACGAAUGUAUGCUCCCUCCCGCUCGCUCAGGUCACUAAAUGACAAACGCCGUCUUGCUCCUCCACAACGAGGCAAAAGUCACUUUCCAAAACUUUCACCCUCUCUGUUCCUCUCUGGUGGAAUGCACUGCCAACAUCCACCCGAAUUGCUGAGACCAUCACUUCUUUCAAAAAGCAGCUGAAAACACCUUUUGUGCAAGCACUUAAACUAUUAAAUGCACACAGGCUUACAUUUCUUCUCUUCCCUAGCUUGCUUCUCAACCUAGCUGUCUAAGAAACCUGACAUUGUGCAUUACAAAUAUUGUUGGCUCUUUGAGAAAUUUCUUUUGUAAGUCACUUUAGAUAAAAGCACUCGUUAAAUGCACAAAUGUAAUGUAAAUUUGUACUUAAUCCCCAUUUUAACCUAAACCAAACUAUAAAAAUCAUAUUUCUUUCAGUUAUCAACAACAUGAGGUGGCACUGAAGAUGUAAGCUCAAUUUGAAACGCACAGCAUGUGUAACUCAAUAUUUUGGGGAACAUCCACAGUCUUUGUUUCUUCAUCCCUGACAGAUUGCAUAUCUAAAGGAGGCACAAAACAACGAAGCGGCGGCUCGAUUUUGAGAAGACUGAUUGAGGUAACGGGUGAAUAGGAUGUGGUCUCUUUUGAAUGGGGGUUUUAGGCGCUACACUGCUGUACGGGACAGGUUGUGUCCAGGGGGUGCGGCUGGGGUGGGGGAGAAUAGGACAGGUCUCGGGCCUUUGUGAGUGUGUGUUUCCAUGGUGGACAAGCCCCAGGCCAGAGGGACUGCCCUCUGUCCCCCUCCCAGGCCCCUAUACUCCCUGUCAGCAGUGAGUUAUUGAUGGGACAGGUUUGCAAUGGAGAUCCCCCUCCCUUCACUGGGGACAUGAAUACCACACAGCUGGAUGGGGACUGUUCGGGAUAGAGUAAGUGCGGAUGGUGCAUGUGUGGAAAUUGUGAUUUGAUACAAUACCCUCCUUGUGCAUGAGUUUAAGGGACUGUACUGUAUGAUGUGUGCACCUAUGUGUGUUAAAGGAUAUGAUGAAGGAUUGGUGAGUUGUGACUUGUUCAUUGGAAGCCUGCAGGUGUGCAGAUAAGAGUACAUCAUGAAUAAAAGAAGGUGAUAUGCUUGUGUAGGGCA
ensembl:lncRNA